rnacentral:tRNA from 1 species
GGCAUUAGCUCAGUUGGGAGAGCACCAGGUUCGCAAUCUGGGGGUCGAGGGUUCGAAUCCCUUAUGCUCC